AGUAGAGCACAAUGUUUCUCUGUUCACUACUGCUUUUUACAGCACUCACAGGUUCCAGCAAACAAGACAGUGUUACUCCUACAUCUUCUGCUGUGAGUGGUAAAGAGAAGCAAACUGUUAGACUCUCCUGUAAUUAUGACUAUAAAGUGUCUAUGAACAAUCUACAGUGGUAUCGCCAGAAUACCGGUGCAGCACCUGAGUUCCUUGUUCUAGUGAUGGAAUCAGGCCAAAAUCAGACAGCAGAUUCUUCUCAUCCUCGUUUAUCUACUGAAGUUCAGAAGAACGUAAAGCGUCUGGAUCUGAUAAUCUCCUCUGCUGCAGUAUCAGACUCUGCACUCUACUACUGUGCCCUGCAGCCCACAAUGACAGGAAAUCCAGCUACAUUGUACAAAAACCUGUGUAGAUGUUGCAGCUCAACUCAGAUUAUAUAUAGUCUACAGACUGUGUGGCUACAAUGAUAAAACCUUUGGAUGCUUUACAACAGAAGAAGAAGACUCUUAGCACAUGCUGCUGUUUAUCAAACAAUUUAUCCCCAGUGAAAACAAGACUGUAUACAGAAAAUGUGGACAUAAGCCAACUACCACAAGGUUGCAGCGCUACAAUGUCUCUUCAUCUCAAUUCCUCUCCAAAAAACUUCAGCAUUCCUCAGUGUCAGAAUGAAAACAUUCCUGAAGAGGGAAAAUGAUUGUGGUCCUUAUUUAUACGGGAAACAAUGUCAAAUUAAAUUAUUUACUUUCUUGGUAAGUUUCUUGUUAAGACCUGAUCAUCAUAAUCAUCCAACAAUGUUGCUAUAAAUCAGUACUGAACAGAUUCAGUGUUGGUUUUAAUAAAUCUGAUUUUAACAGAGACAGACAUAAACCACAUUAUCAUUCUUCAACAAGCUUAUUGAUCCAGAACCUGUAUGUCUCUGUAGUGUAAUACUCUGCUGUGAACUCUGCCGCUAACAAACUUUAAACUCUGAAACUUUUUUUGUCUAUAGGUGAGAUUCUAAUAUGAUGUGAAGGGACUUUAUAACUGAUAUUACUGAGAAGAAGAGUUUUAGUAUUAUUUAAUCACACGUUUACUAAAGAUCUUGAAAGAAACAAAUGAAG
ensembl:lncRNA